rnacentral:misc_RNA from 1 species
UUAACUAUUAUAUAGUACUCAGACGACACUAAUAUUCAGGGUUUUGGGUCCUCCGGCGGGCGCCUGGUUCCGGGACGCCGAGGCGCCGGGGCGGUCCCGCCGAAGCAACGUUGGGUAUGUUCACAGGGGUUUGGGAGUUGAUAACUCGGUAAUGAUCCCUCCGCUGGUUCACCAACGGAGA